GCGGAAGUACCCAAGUGGCCAAAGGGGCUCCCCUGCUAAGGGAGUAGCACUCGUGAAGGGUGGCGUGGGUUCAAAUCCCACCUUCCGCG
rnacentral:tRNA from 1 species